GGAGAGUCCACCCCUUCCCCAUUCCCAUUGAAGUCGCUCGCCUCCUCUUUUCUAUUUUAAAAUCCCCAAAUCCAACCAUCCAUCGAUCCCCCGCUCUUUGAUUCUGAUUCCCAUCAUCAGAAAAAGAGGCAACUAGAUAAUUUCCAAUUUCUAUGAUGUCGGUGAGCUUCAAAUACUGGGAUGACUGUGUGGAUCCAGAGGAUAUGCAGUUACUGUGGACAGAUAGAGCUGUGAGAAAAGAAUGGACUGAUGCUAAUGAAAGGAAGGGGCACAAAAUUCACCUCUCUCGAGAUCCCGAUGGACAACCAUAUCUUACACAGACAGAAAUGAGGGCUGUUGCUGGAAUUGUUGUAGAAAGGCACUUCAAAUCGCAGAUAGAUUCGGAUAUGAUCUGUGCUUUGGCUGAAAUUUUAAGUGACAGGCAACUUCUAGCAGAGCAGUAUGAUAAGAAGACAAAGGAGACGAAGAUGGGCAUCAUGCAGAUAUCACCUAUGACUGCAGAUUGGCUUAUAAGGGAAAUGGGAUAUAAGAAUUAUGUUAUACAGGAAAAUGCAAAUAUGCUCUACAAGCCUUUUAUAAACGUGUACUUUGGUGCAGCAUAUAUAAAAUGGCUGUCUUGUUAUGAUGAAAAAGAAAGAAGUGAGGAAUAUGUUGUAAGAGCUUAUAAGUGUGGCAUAAUUAAGGCAGCGCACAAGUCAACCACAGAUUAUUUCCAGCGCUAUCUUUUUAUCAAAGAUAGCUUGCCUCCGAAGAGUGUACUAAAGAGAAAUCACAAAGAUCUCAACCCUGCUGUUUUGGCUGUUGAUGUGCCAUCUCCAAUGAAGGCAGGUGAUGGCUAUGCUUAUUGGGAUGCCAGGGUAUCCCAAGAGGAUAUGGAGGACAUGUGGCGAAAUCCUGAUGUUGUAAAAGAGUGGUCAAAAUCUGGUGAAAUACGUGGAAGAGUGCGUUUUUCACAGGAUGAAGAGAAGAGUCCAUAUCUUUCUCGAGUUGAGGUGAAGGCAUUGGCUCAAAUCAUCAUUCAACGAUACUUCAGUACAAGGGAAAUACAAGCUGCAGCCUUAGCUGCCCUUGCUGAGGUAUGUAGCAUGAGAUUUGUGAAUGGAGUGCGUACUCGAACUGGAUUAAUGGGAAUUGACUACCCAACUGCAUCAUGGCUAUAUAGAGAAAUUGGACAUAAGGAGUACAAAGUGAGUUCUGUGGAUGAUGUCUACAAUCCAUUUGUUUCCAUGUACUUUGGUGCAUCCUACUUUGACUGGCUGUCAGAAUACAAAGGAAGGCAAAGAAACUAUGAGUUCAUUGUCCAGGCUUAUUUAGGAGGGCCAGCAAAUGUGAAUUUCCAGGAGACAGGCCCUCUUUGGAAAAAGUUUCAGGAAUCUUUGAGUCACUAUGUAGUCCCGACAAGCAAAUUACCCAGUGAUUUGCCUGCCAGCGCAGAAGAAGGAAGAUGCUGCAUUUUAUGAACCCGGUCUGCGGCAUGAAGAUCUAGUUCAGUUGAACUGUUCCCAUAUUAUAUGGAUUCUCAAACUGCAGAAGAGAUCAACAACUUCAUCCACAAGAUCUCACUAAGCUCUCUUACGUGCAAUGUGGUAAUUCCAAGAAAGGGGGAUAAAAAAAUAAAGGCUGGACUAACAGGAGUGCUCAAGGUGCCGUAUAAAAAAAUUGGGUUAACUAAGCAAACAGAAAUGAUAUACAUGUAACGAGAUUUGAAGUAAAUCAUGGACUCACUGUUUCAGAGGCAGAGAAGGGUGUAGAAUACAAGAGGGAUAAAAGCAUUGUCAAGCUGUGCCGUGUAUGCUUGCAAUAAACCACUCGCAGUAACUGUUACCAUUAGAAGUUGAGAGGGCAUAUUAAUAAGGAGAAUACUAUUGUGUAAGAUCAUAGAAUAGCAAAUUUGCAAGAAAGAAAAACUUAUGGUUGUUGAAGAUGC